rnacentral:rRNA from 1 species
UACAGAGGCCCCAAGCGUUACUGAGAAUCACUGGGUUUAAAGGGUGCGUAGGUGGUCCGUUAAGUUCGUUGUGAAAUCCCUGGGCUCAACCCAGGAAAUGCUUCGAAUACUGGCGGACUUGAGGCUAGUAGGGGUCACUGGAACUGACGGUGGAGCGGUGAAAUGCGUAGAUAUCGUCAGGAACGCCAAUGGUGAAGACAGGUGACUGGGCUAGUUCUGACACUGAGGCACGAAAGCGUGGGGAUCAAACGGG